GGGCUUGUAGCUUAAUGGUUAAAGCAGCGGACUCAUAAUCCGUUGAGUGUAGGUUCAAAUCCUAUCAGGCCCA
rnacentral:tRNA from 1 species